UCCCUCUAUAAAGCUCACUUGGCCGGCCACUCCACCUCCCUUUGCUCUCAUUUUUCACUCCCCACUCCUUCCUCCACUCACUCCCAUCCCUCUCCUACCUCUUCUCCACGAGCUGCUGCUCCCCCUUGCUCACAUGGCCGGCCAUGGCCAUGAAGAUCCACCAAGAUGAAGCUCCCCUCCUCCCUCAAGCUUCCCCUCACCAUGAGAGCAUCCCUCUCCUUCUUCUCCCCAACCCUAGAUGGAUUUCUCUCCUCUUCCUCUUCCUCCAUUGCUAAGAUUGGAUCUUGAUGCAGGUGCAUGUUGGUCCAGGCAUGGAGAAGCUUGAGCUAUCCUCAGAUCUGAAGUUCUUGAGCAAAAUCCAAAUCGAGUGAUUCAAAGUUCCGCAGAUAGAUACGGAAAAGAUCUACAACUUGGCGUUGGUCUCAUCCUCAAAUUCGUUACGGAUUGUCCGUGGUGAAAGCCCUCUUCAAUACCUUCAUUUUGGCGGUGGUUUCACCUCGAUUGACCUCCUGAAACUGAAAUGGUUCACAGGUCAAGAUCUGGUCAGAUCUGACUUUGUCGAAUUAAACCAGGAGCAUGGGAAUGAAUUUUUGAAUGAAACCAAUUGGGGGAUACUUAGUUGUGCCAUGGUGAUACCGAGAGAGGCAAUUGCUAAGUCGUGGCACUCUCAUACCUCUACUAGAUGCAAACAAUUCCGGAGAAGAAGAAGAAGUGGAAUCGGACGAGGAUUUUAUUUAUGUUGUUGGGAUUGUUAUAUUGAUGGAGUUGAAGAAGUCCAGGGACAAAUAAGCCAAGGCAAGCCAUCUAUUGAUCUCUGAU